rnacentral:rRNA from 1 species
UACGUAGGGUGCGAGCGUUAAUCGGAAUUACUGGGCGUAAAGUGUGCGCAGGCGGCGCCGCAAGUCGAGUGUGAAAGCCCCGGGCUUAACUUGGGAAUUGCGCUCGAAACUAUGGUGCUGGAGUGUGGCAGAGGAAGGUGGAAUUCCACGUGUAGCGGUGAAAUGCGUAGAGAUGUGGAGGAACACCGAUGGCGAAGGCAGCCUUCUGGGCCAACACUGACGCUCAUGCACGAAAGCGUGGGGAGCAAACAGGAUUAGAUACCCCCGUAGUCC